GAUGAACGCUGGCGGCGUGCUUAAUACAUGCAAGUCGAACGGAGAGUUAGCAAUAGCUCUUAGUGGCGAACGGGUGAGUAACGCGUUGGUGACCUGCCCCGAAGAGAGGGAUACCAGUUCGAAAGGACUGCUAAUACCACAUGAGAUCAUGGGCAUUAGAAAACCAUGAUGAAAGGGAGUGAAAACUCCGCUUUGGGAGGGGCCUGCGUCCCAUCAGCUAGUUGGUAGGGUAAAAGCCUACCAAGGCGACGACGGGUAGGGGACCUGAGAGGGUGACCCCCCACACUGGCACUGAAACACGGGCCAGACACCUACGGGUGGCUG
rnacentral:rRNA from 1 species